rnacentral:lncRNA from 1 species
AGAAAAGGCAGACAGAAGAAGAUGACUAAGCAGACUUUCUGAGUCUUCCAGCCUUUCUCCUGUAUUGAAUGCUUUUUGCCUUGAACAUCAGACUCCAAGCUCUUCAGCUUUUGGACUCUUGGACUUACACCAGUGGUUUGCCAGGGACCCUCGGGCCUUUGGCCACAGACUGAAGGCUGCACUGUCAGUUUCCCUACUUUUGAGGUUUUGGGACUCAGACUGAUCUGCCACUGGCUUCCUUGGUCCUCAACUAGCAGACAGCCUAUCAUGGAACUUUACCUUGUGAUGGUAAUAACGUAGAUGACAGGAAGAAAUAGCAUUUGAAAAAAAUUGCAUGCUUGAAAAAGUGGAACAAUACUAACCAGUGCCUAAGAGGGGCACAAAACUGUCUAUACUUUUUACACUUCAAUGGAUGUGAAAUAAUUACAUCUUAUGGAAUCAGAAUUUCAGAGUUCAAAGAAAUAUUAAUGGUCUUUCAGGCUACGAAUAAGAAAACUGAGAAGAAUACUAGAGAACAAAUACAAACGAGAUAAACACAUCAGAGAGGACAUCAGAAGAUGAUUACUACAAAUCAUUGGAACAUAAGAAGGAGUGAUAAUGGGUUUAGCAAAAAAGGAAGAAGCUUCAAUAUAAAAUACUCUUAUAGUAAGAUUCUCUUGACAAAGGAACUGCAGCUCUGCUUUUCAGAACUCUGGAAAGACUCAGAGAGGAUCUAAAAACAUCCUACAUGAUUAAUGGAACGCAUGAGAUGAGCUGGAAGGAGGGGGAAGAAGGAUUAAAUGUUCCAUCUCUCAACUUAUGACGGAGGAUCACAACAAUUGAGUGGUCAUUGUUGAGAUACUGAGAUCAUCUUAACAGAACUGCUGGUCUUCUGCCUAAUUAUCUUCCAUUAAACUUUCACAAAUAGAUAAUCCCUAUUCACACACAGAGAACUUUCAAUAGCUUUUCAUUGCUUCUUUCUUAAAUAAAAUUGCAUAACCAAUUGCACCAUAUGUUUAAGAAAAAAUUGCAACAUAAAAAUGAGAGACCAAAUAAUUAAACAUAAAAUUAUUCUUUGACAAAAACUAUGAUUGUUAAUAGAACAUAAUAUGGAAGACAUUUUAAGCAUUCUGAUAGAGAUUUCAGAUGACAUUCAUCAUUUCAAGACCAGCAUGUGAUGAAAAGCAUGUCAAACAAAUAAAAACAAAACAAAAAAGGACCCCACGUGAAAUAAAAUUUGAUUCUGGCAAAAUAAACUGAAUAUGUUUUUUUAAUAGGAAUGCCAUGAGAUAAAGUUAAAGAAAGAUCCAGAAAGUAGAAAAAAAAGAAAAUAUGGAGAAAAUGUGGAGAUCAAAAUCUAACUAAUAAAGAUUUCAGAGAGAAUUAAAAAAACAGAAAACAAUAAUUUCACAAAAAUACAGUAACAUUUUCCAGAACUGAGGAACAAAGUAAUAAUCCUUUUUAAAUGGAGAGAAGUCAUGAAUAAAUGAACCAAAAACAUGUAUCUAGAUGUACCCUCAUGGCAUUUCAGAAAACAAAAAUUAAAGGGAAUUUUUCAAGAAAAGUAAAGCAGGUCACAUACAAAGGACUGCAAAUCAGACUGGUAACAGAUUUUUUAAUCAAUACUCAAAGUUUCAGAAGGUGCACAGCAGUGUUUUCAACAUUCUGAGGGGAUUAAUUCUCAACCUACAAUUAUAUCCUUAAACUGCAUAGAAAACUACAUAGUAUAACUUUAGAUAGAAGGCAUUUUCAGACAAAGACCCAAAAAGUUUAUCUUUCCAAGACCCUUUUCUAAAAAGCUAUUUCAGGAUAUACUUCUGCAAAAUGAGGCAAUGCACCAGUAAAGAAGAAAACAAAGCCUUCAUAAAACUGUUGAUGCAGUUAAGGAGAAUAAUUAAGGGAACUUAAUUAGGUCAAGGGAGCUUAGUUAGGGUCUCAGGGAAAAGGAAUACUGGCAAGUCUUAGUGGGAAGCAUUAAAAGCAUUUAAAUAUGUAAGUGUAACAUCUGGGGGAAUUAUAAAGUAGAUGAUAUAAUCUUCAACGAUUUAAAAAUGAUAAAAUAAUUAUUAAUAAUUAUGAGGUGAAGGAAGGGAUACGGAAAGUCAUGACAUAAUGUAAAUUUUCACUAUAUUUUAUUGAGGUGGCAUGAUCAAUAAUGUUUAAAACUGAAACAUUCUGUUAUAAAAACAUAAGUUCUGGAUAUUUUGUUCACAUAUAAGUAGACACACACACACGCAUAUAUUUUUCUUUUUUCUAUAGAUCAGUUAGCCAAUAAUAGGUAUGUCAUGGACAAUUAGUAGUUCGGUAAUUAAGUUUCAGUCUAGUUUCUUUUCUCAAAUACAAAUAAGAUUAAAUAAAAUAAUUAGAUUGCCUUAGCCUAGGUGCCUAGAAAACAUACUGGGGCAAAGUUUACAUAUUAGUAAUGUAUUUGGAGUGCAAACUCAGGGCACCAAAAGUAAAAAAAAAGAAAGAAAGAAAGAGAGAGAGAGAGGAGAAGAAAAAGAAGGAAAGAAAGAAAGAAAGAAAGAAGAGAGGGAGGGAGGAAGGAAGGAAGGAAAGAAAGAGAGAGAGAGAAGGAAAGAAAGAAAGAAAAAGAAAGAAAGAAAGAAAGAAAGAAGGAAAAACUGUGAGGCAAGGAAAGACAGUAAACAAAUAUAAUAUAUUGAGCCCAAAUCUUCAAGAAAAUAAAACUGACUGUAUAAGUGUGCAGAACAUCCUUGAGAAGUCACUGGAACACUGUGCCUUGAAAUAGUUCAAGGGAAGAAAAAGUAUGAAAAUUAUAUGCUGGAUCCUUCCUGUCUCUUGUCCCUCAUUAGUCAAGUUUGUCCCAUGGGACAUUUAUCUCCCUGUACAUCCAGGUUAUAUGAACCUCUUUCUGUUAGAAUCUGAAGACUCCAAGUUUCAGCUGGUUCAGACCUGGACACUGGCAUAGUUGUGACUCAUGCUUCAGGGGUGUGACAUACGCUAUGCUGAAGCCAGGCAUAAUCACUGGGGAAGGCAGACACCACCAGUGAAGUUAGAAGAUGAAACUACAGUAAUGCAAGAGGCAGCAGAGACUCUCCAUUGAGCAAACAACAUAGGUCUAUGAGCUGGUAGACAGAGAAGACACACCAAUAUAGGGAGUAUACAUUCCUGUUGGAAAGGGUAAACCACCAUCUCUUCCAAGGUAUAAGGGGCUCAUUACUGUAACUGACACAGUUCAGCCACUGUGUUUCCCUGAAUUGUGCCAUAAGGAGGAUUUAGCACCUGUGCUUGCUGCUGACAGAGCUGGGUAUUCAGAAGUGGCAGUAACUGUAACAGACUUGAGAAAAAGUCCAGGUUAUUGAACCCAUACAUUGUCUCCAUUCCUGCCACCGUAAUUAUUCUCCUCACUGGCUCUUCAGAACCACCAAGAUUAACAAAAGGAAAGUCUGGCAGACAUUCCACAAGGUGGGUUAUCUUGUUCAACUGACUGUUGAGAGACUUGGCUGUGGAGGAUUUUCUCCAAUGUGCAUUAGUGUGAGACCAAAACAUCUGCACUUUUAGUGAUCACUCACAUAGAUCCAUCUGCAUUAUACCUCUUCUUCACACUGCCUUGUCUCUGAUUUUUCAGUCAUGCACCAGGUUCUGCCUAAAGACACAAUUCACUUACUAGUUUCAGAACUUAGAAUAUGCCUUCGCCUUGGGCCACUUCUGCCAUACAAGGUGGGCAACCAAGUAUACUGCUUACAACUUUGCAUCCCCCUCCAUCCCUGAGGAGGAUUCCUCUUUAUACUUUCAUUUGGGGCCAUCUUUGAAUUGGGCUGUUAUGAAUCAGCAGCAGAGUUGUGGCAGAUGUUGCAAUAUCAUGACAACCAAUUUGCAAAGUAGGGCUCCAGUCCUUUCCUUCCUUGACUAUUGGUUGUAGUGAGGCUCACUUGGAUGUAAGCUGGAGAAGAGUUGAUAUAACAGAAGUAGGUGACAUGGGAGUCUGGACAACCUGUUUAUGUAAUUUACUUCUGUCUUCUUCAUUUGCUUGAGCCUGAUCCUCAAGAAACACUUUCAUUAUAAUGAAUUGGUGCGGCAUUUACCUGACCUUGUGUACUGGGGCCCUUCACGCUAAUGUCACGAGACAGCGGCAUCCCCACAUUCUUUCUUGUUGGCUAAAUGGGAAGAUAGAACUUCUAUGUGCCUAGUCAGGACAUAAAUGAUUGUUCAGGCAUAACGGAGGACCAGAUAAACCCUGGUUCUCAACACCAUUCUGGAGGCUGUGGCAGCUAGUGUAACAGGACAUGAGGCAAUAAUAGCUUCAGCUGAAGUUCUAAAUUAAGCAAGUGGUUAAAGUUGGGUGACUGUGAGAAGAUACAAGGAGAUAAAAAAUUGGAUUUGUCCUAAAUCUUAAGAAAUUAUAUGUAUUAUAUUUUUAGUUUUAGAAACAAUAUUUAUAUCUACUUAUCUACCUACCUAUACACUCAUUUAUCCAUUUACCCAUCUACUCAUGUAUUUAUUGAUUAUACUUUAAUUUGUAAUUAUUCAUAGAAAGAUGUCUAGAGAGAUGUUAUUAGUGUUUGCUUCUUGAGAUGACUUUAGGGAGAGUAAUGACGUCAGAUGUGAAGAGGAAAUCUUUAUUCUCAUUUUAUAUGUUUUGGUACAAGUUGAAUUGUUCAUAUUAUUUUACAUUUAUGAAGUUUAUUUUUAAAAUUUUGUCAAAAGAAAUUACUGAGCAAAGAUAUUUUGGCUCCCAUAUUUUUCUGAAUAACAUCCAGGGUUUCUUUUUUUUUUUUUUUUUAAACAAUGAAUAUUAUGCAAACUUUAAGCAGAAAAAUAUGCUACAAUUGGAAAAAAAUUUGUAUUUUCUCUUUGUAUAUCUUCCCCCUCCCAAUGUUUUCCUUGAGUCAAAGUUGAGGAAUUGGAUUCUGGAUGAAUGCUGUAAUAUCAAUUAACUACAACUAUACAUAGUAUUUUGAAAGAUAAUUAGCAAUUGUGCUGUCCAUAAUCAUUGUAUUCAUUCUUUCCAUAUUCAACUUUAAAAGAACAAUUAGAAAUGUGAAUGCGCUUGGCUUUUUAUGGAAUGAUUUAAUAAUGGUCUCUAACAAGCUUGAACUCAAUUACCAAGGUUUAUUUCCAUUAUAUUACCUUCUGUGCUUUGGUUUUAGACAACCAGAAUCUGUCACAUCAACUACUUUUCUAUCUACCAAAGGUACUUAUUUACAUUUGUAUAAUGAUAUUUUGCAAAAACAGUACAAUGGUAGUCCAUUUGCUAUUACAAAUAAAGGUCACUUUCAAAGUUUCUGUAACAAUUUUCUACACUUUAAAAUGCGCACACUUGCUUUUUUGUCUGGUAUUUUUUCUGUCAUGUUAAUGAAAAUAUCAAUUAGAGCAGGGGUGCCCAACCCCUGGUAUGAGUCCGUGGCCGCUUAGGAACCCAGUGCCACAGCAGAAAGUGAGCAGCAGGUGAGCGAGAAUUACUGCCUGAGAGCUUCACCUCCUGUCAGAUCAGUGGCGGCACUGGAUUCUCACAGGAGUUCCAACACUGUUGUGAACUGCACAUGUGAGGGAUCUACAUUGCACGUUCCUUAUGAGAAUCUAAAGCCUGAUGAUCUGAGGUAAAACAGUUUCAUCCUGAAACCAUCCCCAC